GGUUACUGCUAUCGGUGUUCGCCUAAGCCAUGCGAGUCAUAUGUAGCAAUACAUGGCGUACUGCUCAGUAACACGUGGAUAACCUGCCCUUGGGUCCGGCAUAACCCCGGGAAACUGGGGAUAAUUCCGGAUAACGCAUAUAUGCUGGAAUGCUUUCUGCGUAAAAUGGAUUCGUCUGCCCAAGGAUGGGUCUGCGGCCUAUCAGGUAGUAGUGGGUGUAAUGUACCUACUAGCCUACGACGGGUACGGGUUGUGAGAGCAAGAGCCCGGAGAUGGACUCUGAGACAUGAAUCCAGGCCCUACGGGGCGCAGCAGGCGCGAAAACUUUACAAUGCGGGAAACCGUGAUAAGGGGACACCGAGUGCCAGCAUCCUAUGCUGGCUGUCCGGGUGUGUAAAAUACACCUGUCAGCAAGGGCCGGGCAAGACCGGUGCCAGCCGCCGCGGUAACACCGGCGGCCCGAGUGGUGAUCGUGAUUAUUGGGUCUAAAGGGUCCGUAGCCGGUUUGGUCAGUCCUCCGGGAAAUCUGACAGCUCAACUGUUAGGCUUUCGGAGGAUACUGCCAGACUUGGAACCGGGAGAGGUAAGAGGUACUACAGGGGUAGGAGUGAAAUCUUGUAAUCCCUGUGGGACCACCUGUGGCGAAGGCGUCUUACCAGAACGGGUUCGACGGUGAGGGACGAAAGCUGGGGGCACGAACCGGAUUAGAUACCCGGGUAGUCCCAGCCGUAAACGAUGCUCGCUAGGUGUCAGGCAUGGCGCGACCGUGUCUGGUGCCGCAGGGAAGCCGUGAAGCGAGCCACCUGGGAAGUACGGCCGCAAGGCUGAAACUUAA
rnacentral:rRNA from 1 species